rnacentral:tRNA from 1 species
UGAGGAUGUAGCUCAGUGGUAGAGUACUUGCCUAGCAUGUACAUGGCCCUGGGUUCAAACCCCAGCACCACAA